rnacentral:snRNA from 14 species
AUAGUCAAAGGUAAUGGAGAUCCCAUGAACACACAGGUGGUUUUCCCAGGGUGAGGCCUAUCCCUUGUAGUCUGGGCAGGCUUUCCCCUGCAAAUUUCCCUGAAUGUGGGAAACUUGACUCACAGUUUUGUGGCAAUGGGGGACUGCAUUCAUGCUUCCCCAUG